rnacentral:tRNA from 1 species
GCCGCUUUAGCUCAGAGGCCAGAGCAGCUCCUUUGUAAGGAGUUGGACGUCCGUUCGAAUCGGACAAGUGGCA